rnacentral:lncRNA from 10 species
CUCCACACCUGUGGGUGAAGACCAUCGGGAUGCUUUGCCUUCAACAGGCAAGGCCAACAAUUCACCUUCACUUCCCUCCCUCCAGGAACAUCAGCUCCCAGCUCAGAGUCAUCGGCCUCGCUUACAGGGACGUCACACUACCCGCUCUGUGGGGGGCAUCGUGUGGUCUGGACUUGCUGAGCAGAAAGUAGCCGCUGCCCUCAACACCUCCCUAGAGCAUCUGCGAGCCGAACACCUGGGGCCCACACCUCCGGCACGUCUAGGGACCCAGUGGUCCAUCCCUUCCCAAGCACAAGGCAAGUGGCUACCUCAGUCCCUUCCUCCACGAAGAAAGAGGCACGAUGCCUAGUGCUGUAGGUCCCAUGUUAUUUGGGAAGCAACUUUUGCCCUAUUUGGAAGUGCUGCUCCAACCCCUUAACCCAAGACCAGAGGAGGCCUGCUAGGGGCCACGUGCCACAUGGGCUGCUCGGCCACUUGGGCCACAUGGCCAAGCACAUCCAGUGCUGCUUGAACUGUGUCGAGCUUCUGGCUGGACCUCUGGUUGGCCUCUGCACUGACUUUCAGCAAAGCAUUGCCACCAUCUGGAGACAGGUGUCCCAGGGUCCACCAUCUGGACAUAGCUGUUGCAGCCCACGCCAUCCGGAGAGAGGUGUCCCGGCCCCACCGUCUGG